UUUCAAAGUGGGUCUUUUAUAAAUCACACUGGCUGCAUUGGGAUCUGUUUGCUAAACUAUAGGGUUUCACUCUUAUUGACAAAAGCAAGUUCAAAAUAUAAUUUAUCCUCCAAAUUAUCUGUUACAAAUUUUGAACUCAACCAAGCCAGAUAAUAUAAACAUAUCGACGCAAUAACCCUCUUAAUUGCAUCACACCGACUACUACAACAUACUCUGUACCCUCGGCCUCUUAAGAGUUAACGAGACGACUAUGCGAUGCUUCCAAGCGGAAACAGAGGCAGCUAAACACAAGAAAGGCAUGGGGAGAAAGUGGCAACCAAAACGAAUGCAAACUGAGCAGUCCUUUGGGGAUUUGCAAGAAAUGCCUUCUAAUUUAACUACCAAGAUCAACUAGCGAUAGGCCAAACUCGUCAUUCGUUUUUAAAUUUGGCGCUGAAUUGUUUAGACGUUUACCAUCCGACCCCUACGACAUAUGGAUUCACCCAGAGGUAUAAAUAAAAGUGCAAGUCCAAUGAAAAUUUCCACUGAUUGACUUGAGCUUCAGCAUGCAAGGGAGGUGUGACACCUGGUGUCAAAGGAUGUUCUUGUUUAUGAACUACUCCUAGCAUAAUACGUAUCAUUACGUGCAUGAAAAGGCAGGCAAACAUACACGUAAACCAAUGCACCAUUUAAUCAUUCCAAAUGGUAUUGUGACAGAAAAGCCUAUGUUAGAUUUCAUUUAGUACUGGCGUAUUGGGUGUAAUAACACUGAAUCAGGUUUUGUAGAAAACCCAAGAGAGGAAUAGCACUCCCCUUCCCAGAAGAUUUCAUUUGGAUCAGACUCAAAAACCGAGAGAACCUCGUGGAUUUGUUUACAUUGAAUGGCAAAGUAGGGCCACCGCCACGGGGCUGUCUAUUCAUUAAUUUCCAGCAGAUUUUCGUCUAAAUUACUGCUAUGCAUUUCAUACUGCUCGCUUUCAAAGGACGUCUCGUGCGGCCAUAAGAAACGUGAUAGCCAGUGUGAGGAAAGGGAUUCACUCACUAAGGAGUCAAAGCAAUUUCAAACGUUCAAGCCUUCAACUUUUGAAGUUUCAUGUUUUUAUCUGAAAAGUAGGCUGUUUAUUAUUUAUUUGUUUAUGUAACAAGGUCCCCGUGUUCCCUGCUGGGGAGAUCAUUUGUUUUCUGUGCAAGUAGAGAGGGAAAAAUCCCCAAGUAUAACAAGAGACGAACAGUUAGUGCUGAUUUUCAUUUGCAUAAAUUUUCAUAUAUUUUAGUGAAAAUAAUAGCGGUGCAGAGGAGAGCUCCGCUCAGUUGAGUCAGAGGGAAGAAAAUCUUAGGAAGGACCAAAACGGAGGGAGAGAGCCGGUCACUGAUGGACGAACAAUGCAGCAUUUGAGACAUUUUUUCCAGUUAUCAUGGAAUCUUACGAUCCGGAGCUUCAACUCUCUCACCUUCCCUCCCUUCUCCAGGGAGAGGGGCCUCCUUUCUACACUGGACCCAGACUCUAUCUGCUGUAGAGGGACAGAGUGGCCACGCUGUGAGCACACACACAUACACACACACACACACACACAGAUCCCACUGCUUCCGUUUUCAGCUUACACUGCUGCUGGAGCUGUUAGCCUGCCGGCUAUUUUUCUUUGAGAGACUAUAAAAAUAUGCAAAUGCUGUUGUUAAAGAGAACAGUCGAGUUUUUUAUUUAUUUUUUUUCUGCUCGCGCCCCUUGUCUGCAGAGCAAAGGGCGGAAGGAUUCACUUUUGUCCCUCACUUUGUUUAUAAAAAGACUGGGGAAUUAAGAGAGCGACAGCGACAGACCUAUCAUAGACAUGUUUGAAAUGACCACAUACAGAAUAAAAUGUUUUAUUUACAAAACUGAGAGAGAUCAACUCUAAAAUACUCUUUUUUUUUUUUUUUUUUUUUUUUUUCAUUCUUUGCACCUCUCAUCAUGGCGGACAGGCCUUAAACACAAAGCAUCAACCGUUUUAAGAAUGUAGGAAAAGUACAGGGUGAAUUUGUAAACCCCUCACGGUGCCGCGAACACUUUUUGAAGUGAUUAUGAAGACAGUUCAGAUCAAAGGCUUUGACAACUCUGAGUGCCCGCCAAGACUGAGCCCCUGUAAUCGCACAGAGCCCUCCGUACAACACAGCUCACACCCCUCAAGCACCCGGCAGAACGCAACGCCACACUCACGCAUAAACAGAUUAUCAGGGGACAGAAAACGGCUGGAAAGUAAAUAUGGGAUUAGAAUUUUCAAACUGAACCGCACCAAUAUAACCAAGGAGAUUAGCCAAACAUUUACAGGUAGAUAUUAAUUAUUGGCGUCUGGGAGAUGAUGGAAAAAAAAGCGAAUUAAAAAAUGCCUUGCAAAUGUUUUAAAAAGCCGGGUCGCUAUAUAUUUCAUAAUGCCCAUUGUAUUCAACAUAUCAAAUGUAUUAAAUUACUGCCAUGAUUUUCUAAAGAGAAACGGGAGAAAAGAGAGGGAGAGAAGGAGAGCGAGCAGAAAGUGCUUUGUUGAAGUCAACAAACUCUUAUAUUUUUAUAUAAUUAUGUGCUCUGCUGUGCGUAACUGCUAGGCAGCAUUGUAACAAAUGUCCAUCAUUGGCUCCAUUAGCCCUGCAGACAGACGGCCAUUACGUUUUGCUCAGUAUUUUGCUAACACUAUAAAAAAAACACAUCCCGAACAAAACAACAAUACUCAUAGGGAUUUUAUUAUCUUUGUAUCCACGUAAUGUCACAGAAUUCGAAGCAAUGUUUCACACACUCUUAAAGUCAGCAUGUGCUUAUAUGUUAACCAUCUUGAACCUGUUCUCCACCCUCUUCUUUCAUGUACGGUCAUUUAAUUGAACGUUUUGCUUUUGUCAGUGUAUUCACUGUUUUGUGGUACUGCACUGGUGCUGAUGUGAAACAAUAAAGUGUGUGUGACAGCAA